rnacentral:ncRNA from 1 species
CAAAAAUCUGAGAUGAAGAGAGUAGUUAUUUUCAGAAGCGAUAGCGAGCUAGGGGUGGUGGAAGCCUAGUGCAGAGAAAAUAAUGAAGCGCACUUCGGAGAUGCUUCUUGAACGGUUAGUAGAGUAAGCCGGGGAUCCCUCACCUCGUUAAAAACGGGAAAGUGGUUCGUAAUGAACAACAAGGGUGGUACCACGGGCUUAAACUCGUCUCUUUU